AUUGAACGCUGGCGGCGUGCUUAACACAUGCAAGUCGAGCGGUAAGGCCCUUUCGGGGGUACACGAGCGGCGAACGGGUGAGUAACACGUGGGUGACCUGCCCUCAGCUCUGGGAUAAGCCUGGGAAACUGGGUCUAAUACUGGAUAUGACUCCACGGUGCAUGUCGUGGGGUGGAAAGCCUUGUGCGGCUGAGGAUGGGCCCGCGGCCUAUCAGCUUGUUGGUGGGGNGAUGGCCUACCAAGGCGACGACGGGUAGCCGGCCUGAGAGGGCGACCGGCCACACUGGGACUGAGACACGGCCCAGACUCCUACGGGAGGCAGCAGUGGGGAAUCUUGCGCAAUGGGCGAAAGCCUGACGCAGCGACGCCGCGUGAGGGAUGACGGCCUGGUGU
rnacentral:rRNA from 1 species